GAAAGUAGGAGAAACAGUCGCGCUUUAAAUGAACAUUUAAAGUGAGGAAAGUCCGAACUCCCCAGAAGCAAGGCGCCCGGUAACACCGGGGCGGAGUGAUCCGACGGAAAGUGCCACAGAAACGAUACCGCCUCUAACGAGGUAAGGGUGAAAUCGUGGUGUAAGAGACCACGGCCGUCGAGAGUAAUCUCGAUGGCGGGCAAACCCCGCCUGGAGCAAGGCCAAAUAGGGGAAGAGGGGUUGUUUCGCCCCGUUACUAUUCCCGGGUAGGCCGCACGGAAUGACCGGGCAACCGGUUGUCAAGAUAAAUGACUGUUGACUUCCCCCGGGAGGUUCACAGAAUUCGGCUUACCUCCUGCUUUCCAAG
rnacentral:RNase_P_RNA from 1 species